CACGUAGUUAGCCGGUGCUUAUUCUUCCGGUACCGUCAUCCGCCACGGGUAUUAACCACGGCGUUUUCUUUCCGGACAAAAGUGCUUUACAACCCGAAGGCCCUCUUCACACACGCGGCAUUGCUGGAUCAGGGUUGCCCCCAUUGUCCAAAAUUCCCCACUGCUGCCUCCCGUAGGAGUCUGGGCCGUGUCUCAGUCCCAGUGUGGCUGGUCGUCCUCUCAGACCAGCUACAGAUCGUCGCCUUGGUAGGCCUUUACCCCACCAACUAGCUAAUCUGCCAUCGGCCGCCCCUGUAGCGGGAGGUCCUAAGACUCCCCCCUUUCUCCGUAGAGCGUAUGCGGUAUUAAUCCGGCUUUCGCCGGGCUACUCCCCCAUACAGGACACGUUCCGAUGUAUUACUCCACCCGUUCGCCACUCGCCACCAGGGUUCGCCCCCGUGCCUGCCGUUCGACUUGCAUGUGUAAGGCAUGCCGCCAGCGUUCAAUCUGAGCCAGGAUACAAACUCU
rnacentral:rRNA from 1 species